CCUACGGGGGGCUGCAGUGGGGAAUAUUGGACAAUGGGGGGAACCCUGAUCCAGCCAUGCCGCGUGUGUGAAGAAGGCCCUCGGGUUGUAAAGCACUUUCAGUGAGGAAGAACGCCUGGUGGUUAAUACCCAUCAGGAAAGACAUCACUCACAGAAGAAGCACCGGCUAACUCCGCGCCAGCAGCCGCGGUAAUACGGAGGGUGCGAGCGUAAAUCGGAAUUACUGGGCGUAAAGCGCGCGUAGGUGGCUUGAUAAGCCGGUUGUGAAAGCCCCGGGCUCAACCUGGGAACGGCAUCCGGAACUGUCAAGCUAGAGUGCAGGAGAGGAAGGUAGAAUUCCCGGUGUAGCGGUGAAAUGCGUAGAGAUCGGGAGGAAUACCAGUGGCGAAGGCGGCCUUCUGGACUGACACUGACACUGAGGUGCGAAAGCGUGGGUAGCAAACAGGAUUAGAUACCCUUGUAGUC
rnacentral:rRNA from 1 species